CCGGUUUUCGUUGAGAUCUUA
rnacentral:miRNA from 1 species